UUUAACUGAAGAGUUUGAUCAUGGCUCAGAUUGAACGCUGGCGGCAGGCUUAACACAUGCAAGUCGAGCGGGGGAAGGUAGCUUGCUACUGGACCUAGCGGCGGACGGGUGAGUAAUGCUUAGGAAUCUGCCUAUUAGUGGGGGACAACAUCUCGAAAGGGAUGCUAAUACCGCAUACGUCCUACGGGAGAAAGCAGGGGAUCUUCGGACCUUGCGCUAAUAGAUGAGCCUAAGUCGGAUUAGCUAGUUGGUGGGGUAAAGGCCUACCAAGGCGACGAUCUGUAGCGGGUCUGAGAGGAUGAUCCGCCACACUGGGACUGAGAC
rnacentral:rRNA from 1 species